rnacentral:rRNA from 1 species
UACGGGGGGGGCAAGCGUUGUUCGGAAUUACUGGGCGUAAAGGGCUCGUAGGUGGCCAACUAAGUCAGACGUGAAAUCCCUCGGCUUAACCGGGGAACUGCAUCUGAUACUGGAUGGCUUGAGAUUGGGAGAGGGAUGCGGAAUUCCAGGUGUAGCGGUGAAAUGCGUAGAUAUCUGGAGGAAUACCGGUGGCGAAGGCGGCAUCCUGGACCGAGAUUGACGCUGAGGAGCGAAAGCUAGGGGAGCAAACGGG